UACGUAGGGUGCGAGCGUUGUCCGGAAUUAUUGGGCGUAAAGAGCUCGUAGGCGGUCUGUCGCGUCGGUCGUGAAAACUUGGGGCUUAACCCUGAGCUUGCGGUCGAUACGGGCAUGACUGGAGUUCGGCAGGGGAGACUGGAAUUCCUGGUGUAGCGGUGAAAUGCGCAGAUAUCAGGAGGAACACCGGUGGCGAAGGCAGCCUUCUGGGCCAACACUGACGCUCAUGCACGAAAGCGUGGGGAGCAAACAGG
rnacentral:rRNA from 1 species